GAGUUGUCUGGCUUUUCGGGCACCGCUCUCACGCCCGGCGGCCCCUCGCUUUUGGCAUCUGGCGCCCGAGGGCCAGCGGGCCCCGCGGCCCGGCUUCGGCGCGUCCGAGCACACAACGGAGAAAAGAAAGAAAAGAGCCAGCGGGAGGAACCCCGGCGCUCCGAAGCCGGCCCCAGAAGGCCGGGGGAGCCAGCGCCCCCGACCGCCUCCCCCCACCGCGGGGAAGGCGCCCGACCUCCACGUGCCGUCCGCCGGGCGGCCCAGGCGCCCGGGCCCGGCCCGGCCUCCGCGCGGAGGGCCGGGCGGCGCGCGCCGGAACAGCGGGGGCACGGCGGCCCGCCCGCUCGCUUUCACGGGGCGGCGCAACGGCAACGACCCCCCACGCACGCGGCCGGGGCGCGGCCGUCGGCCCCCGCACGCGCCGGCUUCCCUCCUGCGGCCCCGCCCGCGGGGCUCGCGCGGAGCGCGCCGCCCGCGCCGCCCGCGCGGCCGGCUCUCUCUCCCCAGCGGCCUUCCCGAUCCCCGCUUCGAGGCGGCACGCGACGACCGCCCGGCCCGCCCGGCGCGCCUCCCAGCGGGACCGCUCCCGCCAGGCGGGCGAGCGCCCCGGCGGGCAGCGCUCCGCCGCCCGGCCCCGGAGGCGGGCGCCACCGGGACCCGAGCCGGCGUCGCCAGCGCCCGAGGCCCGCCGGACGGCGGGACCCCGCCGCCGCCGGGGCCGCACUCCCGGGACCGCCGCCGCCUCGCACCGUCGUGGGCCCCUCGCCUCGGGCACGCGCCCGGCGGAAGGCGUACGGCGCUGAGCCGGGGGCAACGCCCGCUCUCCUCGCUCUCGCGCGGAGGCCGGGCGGGGAAGCGCCCCGCGGCCGCCCGCACGCCUUCCCUUCGGCCCCACACGCGGCCGCGGCGAGGGCGGCGGAGGGCGCGGCGAGCGGGGCCCGGGCCGGGACCGCCCGCCCGGCGACGGCGGGCGCCUUCCCGGCGGACCGUCCCCGCAGGGAAAGUGGGGACACCCGUCGAGCGGCGCCGCCGCCCGCUCGGCACGGGGUCGCCCGCGCUCGCGGGCCUCCGCCCGGCGGAGGGCCCGCCGGGCGCCCCCCCCGGGCGGGCGGGCGGUCGAGCCAGGGGCGGCCGGCGGGCGGCGCCCGCCCGGUGCCUUCGAGGGAGGAAAGAAAAGGCCGUCGAGGGGGAGAGGGGCCGGCCGCGCCGGGCGCGGCGCCCAGCGCCGCACGCGAGAGACCGCGGCGGCGGCGGCCGAGGAAGAGAGAGCGCCGGCGGGCCCCGGCGGCCGCGACCCCGCGGCCGAGGAAGGAGCAGAGAGAGAGCGCGCGCUCUUCUCUCUGCCGGCGUCGCCCGUUACGACGAGGCGGCGGGUCGGCCCCGCGGCCGACCGCGCGCCGCGGCGCCUCUCCGCCGAGGCCGGGCCACGGAGGGGGGCAGGGCGCCCCUCCCCGGCGCUGGCGCGGUUACCCCCGCGCGCGCGCGGGGGCGACGGCAACGGCAACGGCGGCGACGGAGGGCGCGGCCGGUGGCGACGGACACCACCGCAGGGGAUCGGCGGGAGUAGCUGCUCCCCCACCCCUCAGUGGCGCCCGCACCACCGCCCGGCAACACCUGCCGCCCGCCGCCCGCCCGGCACCGCCCGCCGCCACGGCGGCGGGCAGCGCCGGAGCCGCCCGAGUCUUUAAACCGCCGCCCCGGCUCGCCCGGCCUUUCGCCCCCCCGCAACAGCGUUUGGCGGCGCCCGGCGGGAAAACCUGGGGGACCGCCCGAGGCGCGGGCGCUAGGUACCUGGCCCUGGGGCGAGGGAAACGACCUGCAUGGCCCCGCCCGGCGUGCCUCCCCCCGCUGCCGCCCUCGGGGAGCGUCCCACCCGGCGGGGCGCACCCGGCGUCUGCCGCCACCACCGCGGCGUCCUUUCUCGGGGCCGGGGUUUCCCUCAGUAACCCGGCGCUGCGCCCGAAGGGCGGCCGCGGCUUCGCGCCCCGCCCGGCGCGGGGACCCGGCCCGACCGCCCGGCGACCCCGCGCGCGCGCGCGCCGCGCGCCCCGGGCGCGGCCGGAGCGCCCGGAGGGGCUCGGCCCUCGGGGGGUUUCCCUCUGCCGCGCCAAGCCGGCUCGGCCCGAGAACGGGACUCUGCCGGCCGCGGCAAAGCCCCGCUCCCCGGUGCGGGGAAGGGCCGGAGGAGCCGCCUCCUCCGAGCCCCGAAGGCGCCCCGCCACCCGCUCCCUCGCCAUUGCCACAUCGGCCGCCCGGCGGGCGCCGCGGCGGCGACGGCGGCCGGCCGCGGCUUCGGCGGGCGAAGCGGCGAGGGGAGGGACGGGGCGCGCCUCCGGGAGGGGCGUGCCGGGCACCCCUCCCCUCCCGGCACCCGGGCGGCUUCUCGCGCGCACAGCGAGGAAGAGCCGGGCUCGGGAGGACUUCGGGCCGCGCCAGGGCGGCGCCCGCGCGCUUCGCCCGGCGACCGGCGUUCGGCCCGGCGCCCGGCCGCGGCGGCGAGAGGGCUCGGGGCCGGCCGGCUUUCCCCGCUCUCCGGCGGGGCCGGACCGGCGGCAGACCCGGCGCAAAGGCGGGAGGGGGGGGGGAAAAAAGCGGGGAAAGACAGGCCGCCGCGGCGGCGGCGAGCGCGCCGCGCCGAGGCCCGGCCGCGGCGCGCGGUGUAGCGCGGGGAGAGCCCCGCCCGCGCGCACGGUGACGGGCGCGCGUGGCGCGCUUCGCCCCGCGCCCGGCGGCGGCCCCCCCCCGCUUCUCCUUCUUCCGACCCACCCUCCCCGCCCGGAGGUGCCGCGCGCCUCCGUCUCUCUCUCUGGGGCUGCGGCGCGGCGGCGGCAGGAAGGGCGUGUGGCCCCGGUGCCGACCGAGGCCGGCGGCGGAGCGGGGGCCGAGCGUCGCGAACGGGCGGGCGUCGCGGCGGCGCCGCGCGCGCGCGGCCGGCCGGACGGCCCGGCAACGCGGCAGGCGCCGAGCCCCACCGGUAAUGAUCCUUCCGCGGGUUCACCUCACGGAAACCUUGUUACGACUUUUACUUCCUCUAGAUAG
rnacentral:lncRNA from 1 species